ensembl:lncRNA
ACUUGGGACACUCUGCUAAGCCCUGAGGGAUAUAAGGAAAGGCAAAAGGCAGUCCCUACGCUGGAGGUGAUUUCUGGCCUCCCCUCCUGUUCCCCAUACCUGGCAUCCUCCAGAGUCAAGAGGGGAAGCCUUGUCCAACAGCCUCUUUUUAUAAGGGUGGGGACUCUGGCCCAGAGAAAUGAAUUCUUCUCCCAGGGGGUGGCAAAUGGCAGACGGACUGAUUUGAGCUUCACAACAAUCCUGGGAGGUGGGUACUAUUAUUACCCCCAUUAUACAGGUGAGGAAACAGAGGCAAAUAGAGGUUAGCUUAAAAAAUAAUUCAACAUCCAUUUAUUAAGUGUCUACUUUGUGCCAGGCACCGUGCUAAAAAAUGGCUUCUUUCUUGGUCUUUGAUGUCCUCUUCUUCCGAACCUCAGCACUCCAGGCCCCCUUCUCACAGAAGCAGGCGGAACAUCUGGAGCUUUCCUUUCCUCUCCACCCUGGCCUCGACCUCCAUUCUAGGCUUCCGAGGAAUUGGACGUCUCCUAAAGGGAGUGGUGAGCCCGGAGAGCAGGCCUAGCUUCACUGAAAACAGGCCUGCGGGAAGUUCUGGAAUUUCUGCCAACUUUGGCCCCAUUUUCACAUUUAUUGACAAGGGACAAAAGCGUGCAUCGAGUCAGAAGAGGAGCCUAGCACGCUCACCCAGCAGCAGAGCCCCACCACCUCCAGAGCCCUAGAAGCUACCCUCGGGUGUCUUUGGCCUCAUGGAUAGGGCAGCACCUCCUGGUCAAUGGGACAGUGUCCAGAAGAGCCCCAAGGAUGGCUGGCUGGUUGAAGGACAGCCCAGGGAGAGCGAGCCUGCAGAAGAGAAGCACUGACGUCCACGUUCACUUUCUUCACGUAGGAGAAGGCGCUUUGUACCCAGGAUGGACUAACCUGGUUCUGCUUGGCCCUCUAGGGCAGAACCAGGAGCAACAGGGCGAUAUUUCAGGAGCACAGAUUAGGUUUGAUGCCAGAGAAAACUUCCCCACAAUCCAGACUGUCCCAAAGGGAAUGGGCUGCCCCAGCUUCGGGUACCGGUUAGUCUCUUAAAGCUCGGACAAUCAUCAGUGUGGAGGAUCAGUGAUUACCUCCCUGGGGAGACUCCCUCCACCUACAUGUGUGGUAACCUUCUGUAACUCAGAGUUAAGUCCUAGGAAGUUGCCUGAGGCUCAAAGUUGAAGGGAUUUGCCUGUGGUCAAGGACAACAUGGCAAGAAUUUCUGAUUUCUUCCUUGUGGGAUAUUCAGUAUGGAAAGUCCCUAUGAUGGGUCUAGAAUUUACAACUGUAAAGAGCUGCCCCAGGCUCAGAGAAAUUGUAACUUGGCCAGUCACACAGGCCCUGAAAAGCUAAUGGGACAUUUGAAGUUGGGUCUUCCCGUCCAUGGACAAUACUCAGAAAAAAGCUCUCAUAGGUUACAAUAACCCCCUCCAGAACAGUCAGAGGAAGAACUGUGGGAAUAGAAACACAGAAGAAGAACAACUGCUUGAUCACAUGGUUCAAUGGGGAUAGGACUGGGGAUAUAGAUUCUAAAUGAUCACCUCAGUGCAAAUAUUAAUAAUUGAAAAUAGGUUUUGAUCAAUGACACAUGUAAAACCCAGGGGAAUUGUGCAUCAGCUCGGGGGGGGGGGGGGGAGAGGAAGGAAAGAACAUGAACCUUGUAACCAUGGAAAAAUAUUCUAAAUUAACUAAUUAAAUAAAAAUUUUCCAAAAAUCUAAAAGGCA